rnacentral:rRNA from 1 species
AUUGAACGCUGGCGGCAGGCCUAACACAUGCAAGUCGAACGAGCGGCGGACGGGUGAGUAAUGUAUGGGGACUGCCCGAUCGAGGGGGAUAACUACUGGAAACGGUAGCUAAUAACGCAUACAAUCGGAUAACCCAUAUGGGAUUAGCUAGUAGGUGAGGUAAUGGCUAACUUAGGCGACGAUCCCUCGCUGUUCUGAGAGGAUGAUCAGCCACCCUGGGACGGAGAAACGGCCCAGGCUCCUACGGAGGCAGCAGUGGGGAAUAUUGCACAAUGGGCGCAAGCCUGAUGCAGCCAUUCCGCGUGUAUGAAGAAGGCCCUAGGGUUGUAAAGUACUUUCAGUCGGGAGGCGUUACCGACAGAAGAAGCACCGGCUAACUCCGUGCCAGCAGCCGCGGUAAUAC